rnacentral:rRNA from 1 species
GUGCCAGCCGCCGCGGUAAGACGAACCGUGCGAACGUUGUUCGGAAUCACUGGGCUUAAAGGGCGCGUAGGCGGCGGUUCAAGUCCGGGGUGAAAGCCCCCAGCUCAACUGGGGAAUGGCCUUGGAUACUGAAUCGCUUGAGGGAGGUAGGGGCGGAUGGAACUUCCGGUGGAGCGGUGAAAUGCGUUGAUAUCGGAAGGAACGCCGGUGGCGAAAGCGAUCCGCUGGCCCUCUACUGACGCUGAGGCGCGAAAGCCAGGGGAGCAAACGGGAUUAGAUACUCCCGUAGUCC